rnacentral:rRNA from 1 species
AGUGAACGCUGGCGGUAGGCCUAACACAUGCAAGUCGAACGGCAGCACAGUAAGAGCUUGCUCUUACGGGUGGCGAGUGGCGGACGGGUGAGGAAUACAUCGGAAUCUACUUUUUCGUGGGGGAUAACGUAGGGAAACUUACGCUAAUACCGCAUACGACCUACGGGUGAAAGCAGGGGAACUUCGGACCUUGCGCGAUUGCAUGAGCCGAUGUCGGAUUAGCUAGUUGGCGGGGUAAAGGCCCACCAAGGCGACGAUCCGUAGCUGGUCUGAGAGGAUGAUCAGCCACACUGGAACUGAGACACGGUCCAGACUCCUACGGGAGGCAGCAGUGGGGAAUAUUGGACAAUGGGCGCAAGCCUGAUCCAGCCAUACCGCGUGGGUGAAGAAGGCCUUCGGGUUGUAAAGCCCUUUUGUUGGGAAAGAAAAGCAGCAGGUUAAUACCCCGCUGUUCUGACGGUACCCAAAGAAUAAGCACCGGCUAACUUCGUG